UUUCCGUAGAACAUUAAACGAAU
rnacentral:miRNA from 1 species